rnacentral:rRNA from 1 species
UGCAGUCGAGCGGAGAGAGGUAGCUUGCUACUGAUCUUAGCGGCGGACGGGUGAGUAAUGCUUAGGAAUCUGCCUAUUAGUGGGGGACAACAUUUCGAAAGGAAUGCUAAUACCGCAUACGUCCUACGGGAGAAAGCAGGGGAUCUUCGGACCUUGCGCUAAUAGAUGAGCCUAAGUCGGAUUAGCUAGUUGGUGGGGUAAAGGCCUACCAAGGCGACGAUCUGUAGCGGGUCUGAGAGGAUGAUCCGCCACACUGGGACUGAGACACGGCCCAGACUCCUACGGGAGGCAGCAGUGGGGAAUAUUGGACAAUGGGCGCAAGCCUGAUCCAGCCAUGCCGCGUGUGUGAAGAAGGCCUUAUGGUUGUAAAGCACUUUAAGCGAGGAGGAGGCUACUUUAGUUAAUACCUAGAGAUAGUGGACGUUACUCGCAGAAUAAGCACCGGCUAACUCUGUGCCAGCAGCCGCGGUAAUACAGAGGGUGCAAGCGUUAAUCGGAUUUACUGGGCGUAAAGCGCGCGUAGGCGGCUAAUUAAGUCAAAUGUGAAAUCCCCGAGCUUAACUUGGGAAUUGCAUUCGAUACUGG